CUCGGACUCGCUUGGCGCUGGGCACGAUCGUAAGCGAGGGAUUUUAGUGUGGUCAGUAUACUCGGCGCGGACACGUCUGAGAUUUUAUUCUCAUUGUUUGUGACGGAAUUGAAACCAAAUGAAAUGUAACUAAAAGGAAAUCGAACGCCUAAUACAUGUGGGAAAACUAAUAAAUUAAACUUGAAUACAUCUGGAAACAUACUCAUAUAAAAGAAUUAUAUUUCCCGCAACGCGACGUGUCCGCUGUUUCAAUUCCGUUACAUCCUCAUUCAGUAACUUAGCCACAGUCAAUUAGUGGUUUAAUCAUUUAGUUACCUUACCUCACUUGAAGUAUGUACCAGCAAUAUUAUUAGCAACUUUGCCAUGGUUCACUCAUAGAGUGUGCUGUUUUUGUUGAAGAAAACCACUACCUGAGUUGACAACAUCCAGGAUUCUCCAAUAAGACUUACCCACCACAGCAGCCAA
rnacentral:lncRNA from 1 species